UACGUAGGGUGCAAGCGUUGUCCGGAAUUAUUGGGCGUAAAGAGCGUGUAGGCGGCCCGAUUAGUCCGCUGUGAAAGUCCAGGGCUCAACCCUGGAAUGCCGGCGGAUACUGUCGGGCUAGAGUCCGGAAGGGGCGAGUGGAAUUCCUGGUGUAGCGGUGAAAUGCGCAGAUAUCAGGAGGAACACCAAUGGCGAAGGCAGCUCGCUGGGACGUGGCUGACGCUGAGACGCGAAAGCGUGGGGAGCAAACAGG
rnacentral:rRNA from 1 species